rnacentral:rRNA from 1 species
UACGGGGGGGGCAAGCGUUGUUCGGAAUUACUGGGCGUAAAGGGCUCGUAGGCGGCCAACUAAGUCAGACGUGAAAUCCCUCGGCUUAACCGGGGAACUGCGUCUGAUACUGGAUGGCUCGAGUUUGGGAGAGGGAUGCGGAAUUCCAGGUGUAGCGGUGAAAUGCGUAGAUAUCUGGAGGAAUACCGGUGGCGAAGGCGGCAUCCUGGACCGAGAUUGACGCUGAUGAGCGAAAGCUAGGGGAGCAAACGGG